GAUGAAGAACGUAGCGAAAUGCGAUAAGUAAUGUGAAUUGCAGAAUUCAGUGAAUCAUCGAAUCUUUGAACGCACCUUGCGCUCUUUGGUAUUCCGAAGAGCAUGCCUGUUUGAGUGUCAUGAAACUCUCAACUCCCAACUUUCUUAAUAGUCGGUUGGGAGCUUGGACUUGAGCGUUGCUGGUCUUUAUUGACCGGCUCGCUUGAAAUGAAUUAGCAGAUCCUUUUUGUAAUCGUUUCCACUCGACGUGAUAAGUAUUUCGCCGAGGACAUCUUAACGGAUGGCCGAGAUAAAGAAAGUCUUUAGAUCCGCUUCUAAUUCUUAGAUAGAGCUUGCUCUACUAAACCCCUUUUAUGAUCUGGCCUCAAAUCAGGUAGGACUACCCGCUGAACUUAAGCAUAUCAAUAAGCGGAGGA
rnacentral:misc_RNA from 1 species